rnacentral:rRNA from 1 species
CAGGCCUAAACAUGCAAGUCGAAGGAGAAGCGGGACUUCGGUUCCGUGGAAACUGGCGACGGGUGAGUAACGCGUGGGAAUCUACCCUGGGGUGGGGAAUAACCGCUGAAACGGCGGCUAAUACCGCAUACGCCUUGAGAGGGAAAGCUAUAUGCGCCUGCGAGGAGCCCGCGUCGGAUUAAGUAGUUGGUGGGGUAAUGGCCUACAAGCCGACGAUCCGUAACUGGUCUGAGAGGAUGAUCAGCCACACUGGGCUGAUACACGGCCCAGACUCCUACGGGAGGCAGCAGUGGGGAAUAUUGGCAAUGGGGGAAACCCUGAUCCAGGCAUGCCGCGUGCGUGAAGAAGGCCUAGGGUUGUAAAGCGCUUUCGGCGGGGAAGAUGAUGACGGUACCCGCAGAGAAGCCCCGGCUAACUCCGUGCCAGCAGCCGCG